CAAUAAGCGGAGGAAAAGAAACCAACAGGGAUUGCCCCAGUAACGGCGAGUGAAGCGGCAACAGCUCAAAUUUGAAAUCUGGCCCUCGGGCCCGAGUUGUAAUUUGGAGAGGAUGCUUCUGGCGCGGCGCCGUCCGAGUUCCCUGGAACGGGACGCCAUAGAGGGUGAGAGCCCCGUACGGGCGGACGCCUAGCCUCUGCCGAAGCUCCUUCGACGAGUCGAGUAGUUUGGGAAUGCUGCUCAAAAUGGGAGGUAAAUUUCUUCUAAAGCUAAAUACCGGCCAGAGACCGAUAGCGCACAAGUAGAGUGAUCGAAAGAUGAAAAGCACUUUGAAAAGAGGGUUAAAAAGUACGUGAAAUUGUUGAAAGGGAAGCGCCUGUGACCAGACUUGCUGCCCGCGGAUCAUCCGGCGUUCCUCGCCGGUGCGCUCCGCGGGCGGCAGGCCAGCAUCGGUUCUCCUGGGGGGUUAAAGGUCGCGGGAACGUGGCUCCUUCGGGAGUGUUAUAGCCCGCUUCGUCAUGCCCCCGGGGGGACCGAGG
rnacentral:rRNA from 1 species